CUUUUCCCUGAAAGGAAGUUAAUCUCAGCACAUGAUUUUUAUUCAGGGCGUUUCCUUUAACAAGAAUAAAUAAAUUCCUCCCAGCUUGUGUCCCAGUUAUGUUCCUCGGUCUGAUGCAGGAUUUAAGAUUAGAGAAGGUCUCCUCUCAUGGUGGAUAUCUGCUUUAUUUUACUGUCCUCCGUCUGGAGCUCCAGCUGAAGUUUGAUUUAAAGUCAGCUUCUUCAUCACUCUGAAGAGGAGAUCUCAACACUUCAGGAGGACCAGGAGACCCGGAGAUGGGGGGUUGGUGGGAUUGGUGGUGGUGGUGGUGGUCAACACCACCACCACCACCAGGCACUCAGGAGAAGAAGAAACUCAAAGAACUUGCAGCUUCAUUCAUCAAAGCGUAUGACAGUAAAAAACAAAGGAUGACACAGAUUUUUGAAGAGUUUAAUGAAAAGAAAAGUAUAAAGAAAGAAGAACAACUGAGGAAAGAGUUCAAGGAGAUCAUUGAACCGCUGAAGAAUGACCUGGAAGAAAUAAAGAGGACGUGUGAGAA